GGCUUAGAGUUUGAUCAUGGCUCAGGAUGAACGCUAGCUACAGGCUUAACACAUGCAAGUCGAGGGGCAGCAUGAACUUAGCUUGCUAAGUUUGAUGGCGACCGGCGCACGGGUGAGUAACACGUAUCCAACCUGCCGAUGACUCGGGGAUAGCCUUCCGAAAGAAAGAUUAAUACCCGAUGGCAUAGUUCUUCCGCAUGGUGGAACUAUUAAAGAAUUUCGGUCAUCGAUGGGGAUGCGUUCCAUUAGGUUGUUGGCGGGGUAACGGCCCACCAAGCCUUCGAUGGAUAGGGGUUCUGAGAGGAAGGUCCCCCACAUUGGAACUGAGACACGGUCCAAACUCCUACGGGAGGCAGCAGUGAGGAAUAUUGGUCAAUGGACGAGAGUCUGAACCAGCCAAGUAGCGUGAAGGAUGACUGCCCUAUGGGUUGUAAACUUCUUUUAUACGGGAAUAAAGUGAGGCACGUGUGCCUUUUUGUAUGUACCGUAUGAAUAAGGAUCGGCUAACUCCGUGCCAGCAGCCGCGGUAAUACGGAGGAUCCGAGCGUUAUCCGGAUUUAUUGGGUUUAAAGGGAGCGUAGGCGGACGCUUAAGUCAGUUGUGAAAGUUUGCGGCUCAACCGUAAAAUUGCAGUUGAUACUGGGCGUCUUGAGUACAGUAGAGGCAGGCG
rnacentral:rRNA from 1 species